GAUAUAUACUACAAUUUUUUCUUCUGGAUCCAACACGUACAUCGCAGUUGCCAGGGAGAACUGCAGUUUCCAAUACGCAAUAAAAUCUAAGGCACUUUGUAAUCUUGACCAAGCCAUACUUGGAAUGUUUGCUUGAAAACUGACAAUCCUGACACAAAACUAUAGCAAGGAGCAGUUGUUGCUCAGUUCAGUGCGCUGAGCACGUUAUGAAUAAACCUUGUUUUCCGGGACACAAUAAGUGUUCACACCGGAACGACCCUUAACCUUUGAACUGGUUGUCAUGGAA